rnacentral:rRNA from 1 species
UACAGAGGGGGCAAGCGUUGUUCGGAAUUACUGGGCGUAAAGGGCGCGUAGGCGGCACGGCAAGUCGGGAGUGAAAGCCCGGGGCUCAACCCCGGAGGGUCUCUCGAAACUGCCGAGCUAGAGUGCGGAAGAGGCAAUCGGAAUUCCCAGUGUAGCGGUGAAAUGCGUAGAUAUUGGGAAGAACACCGGAGGCGAAGGCGGAUUGCUGGGCCGACACUGACGCUGAGGCGCGAAAGCCAGGGGAGCAAACGGG